CGGAGCGUGGCUCAGCCUGGUAGAGCACUUGCCUGGGGGGCAAGGGGUCGCAGGUUCGAAUCCUGUCGCUCCGACCA
rnacentral:tRNA from 1 species